CAGCAGCCGCGGUAAUACGUAGGGUGCGAGCGUUAAUCGGAAUUACUGGGCGUAAAGCGUGCGCAGGCGGUUUUGUAAGACAGGCGUGAAAUCCCCGGGCUCAACCUGGGAAUGGCGCUUGUGACUGCAAAGCUAGAGUGCGGCAGAGGGGGAUGGAAUUCCGCGUGUAGCAGUGAAAUGCGUAGAUAUGCGGAGGAACACCGAUGGCGAAGGCAAUCCCCUGGGCCUGCACUGACGCUCAUGCACGAAAGCGUGGGGAGCAAACAGGAUUAGAUACCCCGGUAGUCCCUGUCUCUUAUAA
rnacentral:rRNA from 1 species